rnacentral:lncRNA from 1 species
GCAGAAAUUUUGGAGGAACAACAAAAACAACAGGAGGAGGACAGGAAGAGACGGACUGGAGCUGACCAUCGGCGGUUGAACAUGGCCUUCCUAGACCGUCUAGAGGCGAGUAGUUCAAGUAGGGUGCCUAAACCUGUGAACCAAACCACUGAAAGCAGUAAUGUCUGUCUGGAUGAUGACAAACCACAGGAUUCAGCCCUAUCCACAGUACCCAACCCAUCACAGGUCCACACAGACAGUGCAGAGGAGGAUGAUCAUGACCAUAUGUGGACCCUGAUCAAACUCCAGAAUAGGUUUCCAUACUAUGAGCGCGAUAUGCUGGAGGAGAUCGUCAAACAGUGCAAUGGCAAUUACCAGCAAGCAUAUGAGCUGCUUGAUGUGUAAACACUUUGUCAUUUUGUUCCUGAGUGAUAGAUUGAUCCCAAUGUUGUUUUGUGAGCAAAUAAAGAGUUUUGGGUGAACUGUCCCUUUAAUUAAAGAAGGUGGUGAGCUCUAACUAGUGUCCUUUGAACUGAAACAAAAACUUCUUUUUUAGUUUGUGCAGUUAUUUUUGCUUUGACACGAAAUGCACUGACACUUAGUCACAGAGAAAAGAAAUCAAAACAAUAAACCAAGAUUUGAGUCUGCUGUGGGAACAUUUAUGGAUCCCAUGAGUACAAUUCAAAGGCUAAAUGAUGUGUGUUCACAAAAUCCAGAGUCUAAUUUAUAAUGAGGUACAGGACUAGAGGAAUUCUGAACUCAUCCAUCAUGAGAUGGACAGUGAAAAACCCAACCAUCAUACAGAUCAUUAGCUUCCUGAAUGUUUUGUAUAGGUUUCUGCUAAAUCUGCAUGUAUUUAAAAAGGCUGCCUCUAUGUAUGUGAAAUAGAGUGCAACAGUUGGGUUCCUGAAGUAAAAAUCCCAUCCGUUUUCUCCAUAGGGAAUUGAUUUUUAUAUUUUAACAAGAAUUUAUAAACUGUUAAUGACAGACCUACUUUGAGCUACGAGGUUGUUAAUCAGUGGCAUAUGCUUUUGUUAAAGCCAUCAGUUUGCAUUUCAACUUUUUUAAAAAUUUGUAUGGGGAAAAUGAGUGGGACAAAUCGGCAGGCACAGUUGCACUCUAUUCAGCAGAUUUAAAUUUUAAGUAAUGGAAGAGACAUUUCAUGAAAUGGGUGUGUUGUGCUGGACAGAAAAAAAAAAUCCUGUUAGAUAAUAUAAAUAAUAUGCUUAAUUGUUAAUAAAUUUUAUUUGUGUCAUCUUUUUGUUUAUUAUCUUUAAUUUUAAUGUUUUAGAAUUGAUUUAUUAAUAAAAGAAUAUGAAUUUUACUAAUGUUGGGAUUGGAUCAGAAAGGUAACAGGGAUGACAGUUUCAUUUCACAACAAAAUUGUAGUUUCUAUGUAUUUUGUUUUCAUCAAAAUAUACAUAUUUUCUACAAUACAGUUGCAAGAAGAGUGGGCACAGAUUCAAAUGUGUCUACAUCAAGAAAGAGAAAGAGAAAAAAAAAUAGAAAAUUAAGUUCCUGUAUUUGUGCUGAUGUUUAGAAAAUUGCCUACACUAACACAAAGUAA